rnacentral:misc_RNA from 1 species
GAGAAAUGUGAGUGAGAAAUUGAUGCUACAGAGGCAAAGAAAGAGAGGUGAUGAAAAGAAGAUGAGAUGCUUGAUAAGCAUCAAUUUUCUUGGGAGUGCAGGGCCUAUAAGGUUUAUGGUGAAGGAAGAUGAUGUUGUUGCCGGGGUCAUUAACACUGCUUUGAAGAUUUAUUCUAGCGAAGGCCGCCUUCCUGUUCUUGGCUCUGAUGCCAACAACUUCCUUCUCUACUGCCCAAAUGCUGGCUCAGAUGCUUUGAAUCCAUGGGAACCGAUAGGAUCAUGUAGGGAAAGGAACUUUGUGCUAUGCAAGAAGCAGAAGCAAC